AGUUGCAUCACCGCUCUGGUCACACUAGGCAGAUUACUAAUUUCUAGCUUCAUUUUAAUUUUUUAGAGUUUAGGUAAUCGGAACGCAACGAAUUUUAGUGAAGUGAUUAGUUUCUCAAAUUGUAUUAGACUUUUCUUGAUCCAACACGCACUCAUGCAAGCACUUUUUACUCAGUUGAUUCUUUUCUGGUAUACAUACACACUGAUUACGCAUCGAAUUGGCAUUAUGCUCUUAGUUUUCCCUAAUUUCUUGCACUAAGUGAAAAUUUUGGGCGUAAGGACGCCAUUUGGGGGGCUUUUAAAUAGAUAUAUAAAUGUGGUACAGUUUUCAUUGUCAUGUCUCAAAUUAUUUGCAAGUGAGUGCGUUACUCCCGGGAUCGCUUAGCUUUCUUAUGAUCUUCAAAACCUGGUUUUAAGCCAAACACUUCAAGAGAUAGUCAGUCACGAUCUUUUUCCACCUUUAAAGGAGAUUUUCGGACACGUUGCAUCCACAACUAUCCUAAUUACAUAUGUUUUUUCUUCUCAUCUGUUUAGGGUGCUGAGAUGGCCAUCUAAUGGGUAAAAAAAGGUUUUAGAAAUAGCUUUGGAGAUCGGUUCGAAUGAACGAGAAGAUUAGAGCGCGCUAAGAGUCGUUCGAACCGUUUUCUAAAGAAAAAAAGAAAAGAAAAAAUACAUGGUUUCCUUGGAACGGCUGAAAUUGAUUUGUCUUACGGACAGUAAGCCAAAUAAGAUUAUUUGAAAGCCACACACUGAUUGUUUUAAUGUUUGACUCGUUUGUCAAGCAGUAAAACAAAAUGAUUUAAACACAAAACGCCAGAAAAAUCUUAAGACGCAACGUUUUACAAGCCGCAAUGCAAAAAAAAAUCAAAGUCUUAAAAGGCAUGCAAAAUGUUGCAAAUAAAGGAAACAAAUUGGUAACGUUUUACGCGCCUUAACCAGUCUAAAAAA